rnacentral:rRNA from 1 species
CCUACGGGAGGCUGCAGUAGGGAAUUUUCGUCAAUGGGCGCAAGCCUGAACGAGCGAUGCCGCGUGAGUGAAGAAGGCCUUCGGGUCGUAAAGCUCUGUUGCGGGGGAAAAAAGGCAGCAUCAGGAAAUGGGCGCUGACUGAUGGUGCCCCGCCGGAACGUCACGGCUAACUACGUGCCAGCAGCCGCGGUAAUACGUAGGUGGGGAGCGUUAUCCGGAUUUAUUGGGUUGAAAGGGUGCGUGGGCGGAAUGCCAAGUCAGCGGUACAAUCGCGGGGCUCAACCUCGCUCCGCCGUUGAAACUGGCGGUCUUGAGUGGGCGAGAAGUAUGCGGAAUGCGUGGUGUAGCGGUGAAAUGCAUAGAUAUCACGCAGAACUCCGAUUGCGAAGGCAGCAUACCGGCGCCCAACUGACGCUGAAGCACGAAAGCGUGGGUAUCGAACAGGAUUAGAUACCCGGGUAGUC